GGGGAUAUGGCUUAGUGGUAGAGCACUUGCCUAGCAUGCAUGAGGUCCUAGGUUUGAUCCCCA
rnacentral:tRNA from 1 species